GAAAUGCGAUAAGUAAUGUGAAUUGCAGAAUUCAGUGAAUCAUCGAAUCUUUGAACGCACAUUGCGCCCACUAGUAUUCUGGUGGGCAUGCCUGUUCGAGCGUCAUUUCAACCCUUAAGCCCCUGUUGCUUAGCGUUAGGAGCCUACCGGAACUCUCUGGUAGCUCCCCAAAGUCAGUGGCGGAGCCGGUUCGCACUCCAGACGUAGUAGCUUUUACACGUCGCCUGUAGCGCGGGCCGGUCCCCUGCCGUAAAACACCCCAAUUUUUAUAGGUUGACCUCGGAUCAGGUAGGAAUACCCGCUGAACUUAA
rnacentral:misc_RNA from 1 species